AUGAUAGGCACAGAGAGAGAGAGAGAGAGAGAGGCAGAGACACAGGCAGAGGGAGAAGCAGGCUCCAUGCACCGGGAGCCCGACGUGGGAUUCGAUCCCGGGUCUCCAGGAUCGCGCCCUGGGCCAAAGGCAGGCGCUAAACCGUUGUACCAUCCAGGGAUCUCACAGUUUAAAGAAAAACAAAUUUGUAUUUAUAUAAGAAGUCUAGAGCUGAUUAGUGUCAUCAAAGACCCAAGAUUUUAUCAUCUUCCUGCUUGGCCAUUCUCAUCUUCACGCUAUUAAGCCUCACAGUAGCAGGAAGGCUGCUGGAGCUCCAGUACCACAUCCUUUUCCUAGUCAGUGCAUUUGUUGAAGAAAUAAGACUGUAUUUCCUGUGAUUUCCCAUGGUCUGGGUUUUGCUGAUUUCUUUCCUGUGAUGUCAUUUAAUAUGCUUCUUGUUCUUCUGUGUUUGCUAUAAAUUGAUAGUUGGAUCUAGAGGCUUGAUCUAAUUCACAGAUUCACAUUCAGCACCGUUUGGCAAGAAUACUUUAUAGGUGUGGUGCAGUCUUCCAUCAGGAGACAGAUAACCUGCAUCCCCUUUAAAAGUAAACUUUCCCAGAACACUCUGUCAUCCUCUCCUCUGCCAAACAGUCUUCUGCUUCAGACUUAUUGGCCAGAACUGGAUCAUGUGACUGUCCCUAGCUGCUAAAGAGGAAGGAGAUUAAACAUCUGACAAAGCGAGCAGGACUGGGGCUUGGCCAAUUACCACUCCGAACUAGCUCAGGGCUCUCUUGCAAGGAGGGCCACAGGAAUUACAUGGACAACAACACUGUCUGCCACAAAAACCCAUGAUUAAA